rnacentral:rRNA from 1 species
GACGAACGCUGGCGGCGUGCUUAACACAUGCAAGUCGAACGAAGAGCGACGGAAGCUUGCUUCUAUCAAUCUUAGUGGCGAACGGGUGAGUAACGCGUAAUCAACCUGCCCUUCAGAGGGGGACAACAGUUGGAAACGACUGCUAAUACCGCAUACGAUCUAAUCUCGGCAUCGAGGAUGGAUGAAAGGUGGCCUCUACAUGUAAGCUAUCACUGAAGGAGGGGAUUGCGUCUGAUUAGCUAGUUGGAGGGGUAACGGCCCACCAAGGCGAUGAUCAGUAGCCGGUCUGAGAGGAUGAACGGCCACAUUGGGACUGAGACACGGCCCAGACUCCUACGGGAGGCAGCAGUGGGGAAUCUUCCGCAAUGGACGAAAGUCUGACGGAGCAACGCCGCGUGAGUGAUGACGGCCUUCGGGUUGUAAAGCUCGGUUAAUCGGGACGAAAGGCCUUCUUGCGAAUAGUGAGGAGGAUUGACGGUACCGGAAUAGAAAGCCACGGCUAACUACGUG